CUGCCGGCAAAGUCUCACGAGGGCAUAUAAUCUCAUAGCCUUGAGGAUAUUUUUCAAAGGCAUAGGACCAAGGCAACACUAACCGGGCUGAUAGAGGUUGUGGAUGAGUCUCUCACAGUUUUUCUUGAGGGAGAAGGGACUACUUGUGACCCAGUGGUUGAAGUUCAAAGGCUCAUAAAGAAGAGAGAAGACACUAGGAAGCAAUAUGAAAAGCUUAAACAAAAUGAUGACUGCCUCUCGCUAUAAAGAGAAAGUUCCGCUUAACGUCCAUGAGGACAAUACAGUGAAACUCUGUGUCGUAAGGCAAGAAUUGGAAUCAUUUGAAGAUAAUAUUCGGCGUUUUACACCUCAUAUUGAUCUGCAAGUACUGAAAUUACUGGAAAGAACUCAUAGCGCGCGGCACAGGAAUGGAAAUCUUUUGAAGGACCUAGUACCGUCUCAAUCAUCAAGUUGAGGUACUAUAAUUAGAGUGUCUUCUGGUUCCGGAAAACUCCAUUUGGAAGGUCAUCGACUGUUUGGUUUUGCUGUAAUUCUAUUUAAGUUAACUACCAUUAGAAUAACAUUAAAAUUAUUAAUUAUUGUAAUACCUGUGUGAGAAUUUAAAUUAUAUUUUCAAUUGUUGCUUGGAUUUA